rnacentral:rRNA from 1 species
UACGUAGGUGCGAGCGUUAAUCGGAAUUACUGGGCGUAAAGCGUGCGCAGGCGGUUCGUUAAGUCAGAUGUGAAAGCCCCGGGCUCAACCUGGGAACUGCAUUUGAAACUGGCGGGCUUGAGUGUGGCAGAGGGGGGUGGAAUUCCGCGUGUAGCAGUGAAAUGCGUAGAGAUGCGGAGGAACACCGAUGGCGAAGGCAGCCCCCUGGGCCAACACUGACGCUCAGGCACGAAAGCGUGGGGAGCAAACAGG